UACGUAGGGUGCGAGCGUUGCCCGGAUUUAUUGGGCGUAAAGGGCGCGUAGGCGGCUCUGCACGUCCGUUGUGAAAUCGCCCGGCUCAACUGGGCGGGGUCAGCGGAUACGGCGGAGCUCGAGCAAGCUAGGGGGCAAUGGAAUUCCCGGUGUAGUGGUGGAAUGCGUAGAUAUCAGGAGGAACACCAAUGGCGAAGGCAGCUCGCUGGAACGGUACUGACGCUGAGGCGCGAAAGCGUGGGGAGCGAACAGG
rnacentral:rRNA from 1 species